rnacentral:lncRNA from 1 species
AUUCCCUCGCCAUGACACAGACAGGUAGGGCGUGCUGGGCCUGCCCGGCAGGGGCCCGGUAGAGCCACGUCUGCUAUUGUAUAUGCCCCACACAGUGGACAGGCCUGGGCACCUGGCCGCUGGUCGCACGUUGGACAAGGAACUUGGCUUCUCUGAACCUCAGUCUUUCUCAUCUGGAAAAUGGGUUCCAGGCUCCCCAUUCCCUGGGAGGAGGCGACGGCUCCACGAUGCCAAUGUCUGACCUAGCCUGAUCCGCCUCCUUGCCCCGACACCCCUGCCGGCUGGCCACCGCCCACUGCCCACCACCCACCGCCCACCGACCCUGGACUCACC